UAUGAGUGGUCUCUUUAUUCUAUAUUUUCAGUAUAAAAAAGAAAAAAAUGUGCUUUUAAAUUACAAAACGUGGAGUUGUUCUGGACCAUAUACCAGAUUAGCUGGAUUUGUAUUGUUGUUUGUUUGAAUUUGUGAAACUGUAUGUAGAUCAUUUCAUGGUGUACGAUUGACUCAAAGGUAUGUCAAACAUUUCAUGGUGUACAGUUAACACAAAGGUAUGUCAAACAUUUCAUGGUGUACAGUUGACACAAAGGUAUGUCAAACAUUUCAUGGUGUACAGUUAACACAAAGGUAUGUCAAACAUUUCAUGGUGUACAGUUAACACAAAGGUAUGUCAAACAUUUCAUGGUGUAC